AGUGAACGCUGGCGGUAGGCCUAACACAUGCAAGUCGAACGGAAGCACAGUAAGAGCUUGCUCUUACGGGUGGCGAGUGGCGGACGGGUGAGGCAUACAUCGGAAUCUACUUUUUCGUGGGGGAUAACGUAGGGAAACUUACGCUACUACCGCAUACGACCUACGGGUGAAAGCAGGGGAUCUUCGGACCUUGCGCGUUUGAAUGAGCCGAUGUCGGAUUAGCUAGUUGGCGGGGUAAAGGCCCACCAAGGCGACGAUCCGUAGCUGGUCUGAGAGGAUGAUCAGCCACACUGGAACUGAGACACGGUCCAGACUCCUACGGGAGGCAGCAGUGGGGAAUAUUGGACAAUGGGCGCAAGCCUGAUCCAGCCAUACCGCGUGGGUGAAGAAGGCCUUCGGGUUGUAAAGCCCUGUUGUUGGGAAAGAAAAGCAGCAGGUGAAUACCCCGCUGUUCUGACGGUACCCAAAGAAUAAGCACCGGCUAACUUCGUG
rnacentral:rRNA from 1 species